GAUCAUGGCUCAGGAUGAACGCUAGCUACAGGCUUAACACAUGCAAGUCGAGGGGCAGCAUUUUUAUAGCAAUAUAAAAGAUGGCGACCGGCGCACGGGUGAGUAACACGUAUCCAACCUGCCGAUAACUCGGGGAUAACCCUUCGAAAGAAGGCCUAAUACCUGAUGGUAUGAUGAGAUUGCAUGAUAGCAUCAUUAAAGAUUUAUCGGUGUACGAUGGGGAUGCGUU
rnacentral:rRNA from 1 species